CCCUAUCAAUCUACUCGCUCAAUCACGCUUCCUACAGUAAAUCUGAAACCCGAAUUCAUUUUCAAAUCACAUCAGCUCUCGCUGUAACACUCAUCUUCGAAGUAACAUGGAUGAAGCCAAUUUCCACAUAGACGAUAUCUGUAUGUAUGUAGAUAAUUUGAUGGAAACGAAUUGGAUGGAAGGAUUAUAAGUAUGAGCUCUAUCAGUGUUUUAAAGGGUUCAAGUCGACAGAAGAGGAACGCAAGUAUCCGUAUGGACAUGUCACACAAGAAGAUUGGAGUUGGUUAUGCACGUUCUUUGAAAAUAAGUACUCUGAGAAGCGGCCUAAGAAGGACCCUGUUUCUCGAGCACAGCUCCCAUAUAAGCAUUGGGCAUGGUUAAAAUCUUCUUUAUGCCACAAUGAUGAUGAUGACGAUGAUGAGGAGGAGCUAUUUCAUAUCACACAUCUUCCAGCUGCAUCAAAUCCACCGACAGAGGAGUUGCACAAAGAGAUGGACGAGCAAUGGUUAAUAAUCAAUUGGCAGGUGCAGAUAUGAUCAAUCUGUCCUGCAGGAUCAGCAAGAACAAUUGAGGCGGUUAGAGGAGUGGGUCUUCAAUGAGACAAUGUUACUCUGGAUCAGGAAGCAAAAGUUUGGAAUCGAGAAGAACGAUUGAGGCAGUUGGAGGAACGAAUCUUCGCUGGACAUGAAAACGAAAACAAUGUAUCUGAUCCUGGAUCCUCUUCUAACAUGCCUGGCCUUAAUUAGCCACAGAUCCACUUCUAAUUGUUCUUGAUAUAUGGCAUCAAGAGACUUGCAUAUUCCUCGUAACAGCCUAUCUGACACACUAUUUGAACUUUAAUCUAUAUACUUUCUUUUUCCUUUACUCGUUUUCUAAUUUUUCCUAUUCUAUAAAUCAAUUUUCUCGCACCAACAAGGACCUGCAAUGGUUUGCUUUUGCUGCAUGAAAGACCACCACUAUUGAUAGCCCACAACUCUCACUUUUGUUGGGAUCUACUGUAUCUCCAUUUCUUGAUUCCAGGUUUUCCUAGAACUCCAUCUUUUCUUCUUUCUCUUCUACACAAAGAACCAAGUAAACCCAGAUGCAUUUACUGCAAAUCUCACUAACAAAGAGUAAUGCUAUUUUUCGCUAGCAGAUUAUUAAAAAUAUUUAGUGGCACUUGUUUGUCAUUCUCCAUAAUUUAUUUUGAGAUACUUUGAGAGAA